UGGGGGUCCUCCACGGGGUCGCGACCUCGAGGUCCUCCAAGAGGUCCUCCAAGGAGUCCUCCAAGGGGUCACGACCCCGGGGUCCUCCGCGGGGUCACGACCUCCACGCGGCGCCACGCCCCCAGCCCCCCUCCGUGGGUUCCCCCGUGGUGCCCCCCACCCCUCCGCCUUCCCCCCCGUGGUGGGGGAUGGGGGGGGGACCNNNNNNNNNNNNNNNNNNNNNNNNNNNNNNNNNNNNNNNNNNNNNNNNNNNNNNNNNNNNNNNNNNNNNNNNNNNNNNGAGGAGGGGCGCAGGACCCCCCCAGACCCCCCAGCCCGCGGACAAAUACCUCAGAGUCGUGCGCUCAACCAAAGAGCCGCCCACCCCGGGGGGCCCCGUCCCGCCGCGCCCCCACCCCACUCUUCUCGGGGACCCCCAUUUCUGGGGGGGCGACCCCAAAUCCCUCCCCUCCCCCCUCCCCGCCCCCCCACCCAGUGACGUUCCCGCUGUGUUCCCCCAUUCCUGGUGCAUCCCCGCUCCCCAGGCUUGGGGGGCUUCUGUGGGGUGGGGGGCUUCGAGUGCUGGGGGCUCCGUGUUCUCGGGGUCUCCGUGUCUUUGGGGUCCCCACGGCCUUGGGGUCUUCGUGUCUUCUUUGGGGUCUCCGUGUUCUUGGGGUCUCCGUGAAUUUUGGGGUCUCCGUGCCCUUGGGGUCUUCGUGUCUUCUUUGGGGUCUCCAUGUCUCUGGGGACUCCAUGUCUUCUUUGGGGUCUUCAUGUCUUCUUUGGGGUCUCUGUUCUUGGGGUUCCACAGUGUUUGGGGUCUCCAUGUUCUUGGGGGUCUUCAUGUCUUUGGGGUCUCCAUGACUUGGGGUCUCCAUGACUUUUGGGGUCUCCACGUUCUUGGGGUCUCCAUGUCUUCUUUGGGGUCUCCAUUCUUGGGGUUCCCGAGUCUUUGGGGUCUCCAUGUCUUUGGGGUCCCCAUGACUUUUGGGGACUUCACGUCUUUGGGGUCUCCAUGUUCUCAUUUGGGGUCUCCAUGAGUUUGGGCCUCCAUGUUCUUUGGGGUCUCCACCUUUUUGGGGUCUCCAUGACCUGUGGGUCCUCAUGGAUUCUUGGGGUCUCCAUGACUUUGGGGUCUCCAUGUCCUUGGGGGUCUUCAUGUAUUUUUGGGGUCUCCAGGACUUUGGGGUCUUCAUAGUUCUUGAGGUCUUCAGGUCUUUGGGAUCCCCAUAUUCUUGGGGUCUUCACAUCUUUGGGUUCCUCAUAGAUUUUUGGGGUCCCCCGACGCUCCUGGGGUCUCCGUGCCUUUGGGGUCUCCAUCUUCCAUUCCUCAGAGCACCCCCAGAUCUCAGGGACCCCCCCAGACCCCCCCCGUGUCCCCAAUUCCUGCUGUGUCCCCACAUCCCGGGGCGCCUCAACGCUUCUUGGGGGGGGGGGGUCCCCAUUUCUUCGCUGAUCCUCACUUUUGGGGGGGGUCCCCCACUUCUCGGGGGUGUCCCCCAUUAUGACCCCUCCCCCCCAGUUCUUGGUGCACCUCUAUGAUUCUUAGGGAUCUCCCCAAUUCCUGGGUAGGGACCCAAAUUUUGGGGUUCACCUCAUCUCCUGACACCCCCCCUUUCUUUGGGGUUCUCCCCAGUUCUUGGAGUGGGGGGGGGAAAGGGGGGAUUCCCAUUUUUGGGGUCUCCCCAUUUCCUGGGCUCCCCCUCCCCCUUCCCCACUGCACACACUGGGGAGGGGAAAAUAAUAAUAAAUAGAUCUGAAAAAAAAGGAAAAGGUGGGAA
ensembl:lncRNA